rnacentral:rRNA from 1 species
AAAAAAAUAAAAAUAAAUUUAUUAGGUGAAAUUUUAAAUUUAUGUAUUUUUUAUAUUUAAUAAUUGAAACUUAAAAAUUUUAGUAAUAAACUAGGAUUAGAUACCCUAUUAUUUAAAAUGUAAAAAAUGAACCUAAGGUAGUAGUAGUUAUGUUCUUGAAACUUAAAAAAUUUGGCGGUAUUUUAGUCUAUUCAGAGGAACCUGUUCUGUAAUCGAUAAUCCACGAUGGACCUUACUUUAAUUUGUAAUCAGUUUAUAUACCGUCGUUAUUAGAAUAUUUUAUAAGAAAGUUAAUUUUCAAGAUUUUUUAGAAGAAAAUAUAUCAGAUCAAGGUGUAGCUUAUAUUAAAGUAGAAAUGGGUUACAAUAAAUUUAUUUAAAUGGAUAUAAAUUUGAAAUGUUUAUUGAAGGUGGAUUUGAUAGUAAAAUUAUAAAGAUUAAUAAUUUGAUUUUAGCUCUAAAAUAUGCACACAUCGCCCGUCACUCUUACUAUUAAGGUAAGAUAAGUCGUAACAUAGUAGAUGUACUGGAAAGUGUAUCUAGAAUGC